rnacentral:misc_RNA from 1 species
UCUCCGUUGGUGAACCAGCGGAGGGAUCAUUAUCGAGUUUAUAACUCCCAAACCCUAUGUGAACUUACCACUUGUUGCUUCGGCGCGCGCUUCGGUGCCGCCGAGGACACUUAAACUCUUUGUUUUUAUAAGCAUUUCUGAGUGGCCGAAAGGCAAAAUACAAAUGAAUCAAGACUUUCAACAACGGAUCUCUUGGUUCUG